AGCGCUGGCGGCGCCUACACAUGCAGUCUGAACGAAGUGACGUACUUAGUGGCAGACGGGUGAGUAACAUGUAAGUAUCUACCCUUUGGCCGUGUAAUACACGAGGAAAGUUGUGCUAAUACCGGAUAAGUCUUUACGGAGAAAGCUUUAUGCACCAUUGGAUGAGCCUGCACUUGAUUAGUUUGUCGGGGGGGUAAUGGCCUACCGAGACUGUGAUCGAUAGCUGAUUUGAGAGGAUGAUCAGCCACGAUUGUGACUGAGACACGGCCCAAACUCCUACGGGAGGCAGCAGUGGGGAAUCUUGCACAAUGGAGGAAACUCUGAUGCAGCGAUGCCGCGUGAGUGAAGAAGGCCCUUGGGUUGUAAAGCUCUUUCGUCGGGGAAGAAAAUGACUGUACCCGAAUAAGAAGGUCCGGCUAACUUCGUGCCGGCAGCCGCGGUAAUACGAAGGGACCUAGCGUAGUUCGGAAUUACUGGGCUUAAAGAGUUCGUAGGUGGUUGAAAAAGUUGGUGGUGAAAUCCCAGAGCUUAACCCUGGAACUGCCAUCAAAACUUUUCAGCUAGAGUAUGAUAGAGGAAAGCAGAAUUUCUAGUGUAGAGGUGAAAUUCGUAGAUAUUAGAAAGAAUACCAAUCGCGAAGGCCGCUUUCUGGAUCAUUACUGACACUGAGGAACGAAAGCAUGUGUUGCGAAGAGGAUUAGAUACCCUCGAUAGUCCAUGCCGUAA
rnacentral:rRNA from 1 species